UACGUAGGUGACAAGCGUUGUCCGGAAUUACUGGGCGUAAAGAGCUCGUAGGUGGUUUGUCGCGUUGUCCGUGAAAACUCACAGCUCAACUGUGGGCGUGCGGGCGAUACGGGCAGACUGGAGUACUGCAGGGGAGACUGGAAUUCCUGGUGUAGCGGUGGAAUGCGCAGAUAUCAGGAGGAACACCGGUGGCGAAGGCGGGUCUCUGGGCAGUAACUGACGCUGAGGAGCGAAAGCGUGGGGAGCGUACAGG
rnacentral:rRNA from 1 species